AGUGGCGGACGGGUGAGUAACGCGUGGGUAACCUGCCUCACACUGGGGGACAACAGUUAGAAAUGACUGCUAAUACCGCAUAAGCGCACAGGACCGCAUGGUCUAGUGUGAAAAACUCCGGUGGUGUGAGAUGGACCCGCGUUUGAUUAGCUAGUUGGUGGGGUAACGGCCCACCAAACCGACGAUCAGUAGCCGGCCUGAGAGGGCGACCGGCCACAUUGGGACUGAGACACGGCCCAA
rnacentral:rRNA from 1 species